CGGGAAAUGGGGCGACUUGGCCUUGGUCUCCAGGCCUCGAGGCUACCGCAGGGCUUUGUGAAGGACAAAAUGGCGAUGGCGGGCGGUGCCGGCGGCCUUCUCUGUGAUGAGGACCUUUCACAGACCUGUACUGAAUCCCGGUUCGGGCGCACGUCUGGACGCUGGAGGACCCGGAAUGUCCCUCUUGUUCGAGUAUGGUUCCGACCCAAAGAGCUCGUACAGGUUGGAGGAUGGGACCAGCCCUAUCCCCGUGCAGAUCAGUCCUUGCAGCGGGGCUCCGCAUCUCAUCGGUCCUGACGGAUUCAGCUGCCUCCGAGGGUGAUCACAGGUUGUCCUGAUGAUGAUCUAUUCACCUAUCUAAAUGGUCGCCAUUGAUCUGCCCAGGGUUGAACUCAUGGAAGGAGGUGGAAGUGGAGCAGCUGGGUCCUGUAUACUAAUGAGAAACCUCCAGAGUUAAAAGGUGCUGGUAACAGUGACCUGCUUUGCUUGUCCCCUCAGAGGUCCAGCACCUCCUCUGGGGCCCAGGAAUGAUUUGAGGGGAAGUGUAAUCUGUAUUUCUGUUCAACUUCAGUCUGAAGUUUGAGGUCUAAAGAAAGAACAAAGCAUGUAUAAUGGAAUCCAACUCUUUGAAGACAAGAGAAUUUUCAAGCAAUUUCUUGUAUAAUCUGGCUGUUUAAAUUUUCAAAUAAUCAUUUCCAUCCUUAAAAAUAAAGGCUCUUUUUAUUCUUCA